GAUCAUGGCUCAGGAUGAACGCUAGCUACAGGCUUAACACAUGCAAGUCGAGGGGCAGCAUGACCUAGCAAUAGGUUGAUGGCGACCGGCGCACGGGUGAGUAACACGUAUCCAACCUACCGGUUAUUCCGGGAUAGCCUUUCGAAAGAAAGAUUAAUACCGGAUAGUAUAACGAGAAGGCAUCUUCUUGUUAUUAAAGAAUUUCGAUAACCGAUGGGGAUGCGUUCCAUUAGUUUGUUGGCGGUAGGUACCG
rnacentral:rRNA from 1 species